GGAGGUUAGGUUUACCGAGUUAUCCAACUCCCAACCCCUGUGAAUUAUACCUUUAAUUGUUGCUUCGGCGGGACUUCGCGCCCGCCGGGGACCCAAACCUUCUGAAUUUUUUAAUAAGUAUCUUCUGAGUGGUUAAAAAAAUGAAUCAAAACUUUCAACAACGGAUCUCUUGGUUCUGGCAUCGAUGAAGAACGCAGCGAAAUGCGAUAAGUAAUGUGAAUUGCAGAAUUCAGUGAAUCAUCGAAUCUUUGAACGAACGCAUUGCGCCCGUCAGUAUUCUGGCGGGCAUGCCUGUUCGAGCGUCAUUACGCCCCUCAAGUCCCCUGUGGGACUUGGAAGUAGUUUAUGCGUAGACUAUGAUUGGCCCAGGGAUCGGCGAGGCUGGCUUUCCAGCACAGCCGUCCCUUAAAUUAAUUGGCGGUCUCGCCGUGGCCCUCCUCUGCGCAGUAGUAAAGCACUCGCAACAGGAGCCCGGCGCGGUCCACUGCCGUAAAACCCCCCAACUUUUUAUAGUUGACCUCGAAUCAGGUAACU
rnacentral:rRNA from 1 species